CCCAGAUAAUAGCACUCUCAAACAAGUUUCCAUGUUGUUUGAAAGGCUGUUUCUUGGUC
rnacentral:pre_miRNA from 1 species